UGGGGAAUAUUGCACAAUGGGCGAAAGCCUGAUGCAGCAACGCCGCGUGAGGGAAGACGGUUUUCGGAUUGUAAACCUCUGUCUUCGGGGAAGAAAAAAAUGACGGUAGCCGAGGAGGAAGCUCCGGCUAACUACGUGCCAGCAGCCGCGGUAAUACGUAGGGAGCAAGCGUUGUCCGGAAUUACUGGGUGUAAAGGGAGCGUAGGCGGGAAGACAAGUCAGCUGUGAAAUACAGGGGCUUAACCCAUGAACUGCAGUUGAAACUGUUUUGCUUGAGUGAAGUAGAGGCAGGCGGAAUUCCGAGUGUAGCGGUGAAAUGCGUAGAUAUUCGGAGGAACACCAGUGGCGAAGGCGGCCUGCUGGGCUUUAACUGACGCUGAGGCUCGAAAGUGUGGGGAGCAAACA
rnacentral:rRNA from 1 species